rnacentral:rRNA from 1 species
CAGGCCUAACAAUGCAAGUCGAGCGCCCCGCAAGGGGAGCGGCAGACGGGAGAGUAACACUGGGAACGUGCCCUUUGGUUCGGAAUAACCCAGGGAAACUUGGACUAAUCCGAAUAAGCCCUAACGGGGAAAGAUUUAUCGCCGAAGGAGCGGCCCGCUCUGAUUAGCUUGUUGGUGAGGUAAUGGCUCACCAAGGGGACGAUCAGUGCUGGUCUAAGAGGAUGAUCAGCCUCACUGGGACUGAGACACGGCCCAGCCCCUACGGGAGGCAGCAGUGGGGAAUAUUGGACAAUGGGGGAAACCCUAUCCAGCCAUGCCGCGUGAGUGAUGAAGGCCCUAGGGUUGUAAAGCUCUUCAGCGGGGAAGAUAAUGACGGUACCCGCAGAAGAAGCCCCGGCUAACUCGUGCCAGCAGCCGCGGUAAU